rnacentral:rRNA from 1 species
AUUGAACGCUGGCGGAAUGCUUUACACAUGCAAGUCGAGCGAGAAAGCUCCUUCGGGAGUUAGUAAAGCGGCGAACGGGUGAGCAACACGUGAGAAUCUACCCUUUAGUGAAGAAUACCCUCGAGAAAUCGAGGCUAAUACUGCAUACGUCCCUUCGGGGAGAAAGAUGGCCUCUUUGCUAUCGCUAAAGGAUGAGCUUGCGUACUAUUAGCUAGUUGGCGGGGUAAAGGCCCACCAAGGCAAUGAUGGUUAACCGGCCUGAGAGGGUGUACGGUCACACUGGAACUUAGACACGGUCCAGACUCCUACGGGAGGCAGCAGUGAGGAAUCUUGCGCAAUGGGCGAAAGCCUGACGCAGCGACGCCGCGUGGAGGAUGACGGUUUUCGGAUUGUAAACUCCUGUUAAGCGGGAAGAAAGCCUUGUUUCUAAUACAAGCAAGGUAUGACGGUACCGCUAGAGAAAGCACCGGCUAACUUCGUGCCAGCAGCCGCGGUAAAGUGACG